UACAGAGGUGGCAAGCGUUGUUCGGAAUUACUGGGCGUAAAGGGCGCGUAGGCGGUUCGUUAAGUCCUGUGUGAAAUCCCCCGGCUCAACUGGGGAACUGCACAGGAAACUAGCGGGCUUGAGUUCGGGAGAGGGAAGCGGAAUUCCGGGUGUAGCGGUGAAAUUCGUAGAUAUUCGGAAGAACACCAGUGGCGAAGGCGACUGACUGGACAAGUAUUGACGCUGAGGUGCGAAAGCGUGGGGAGCAAACAGG
rnacentral:rRNA from 1 species